ACUUAUAUAGUAUAAUUAUUAUAUUUAACUUCCAAUUAAAAGAUCUAAUAUUUAGUAUAAGUA
rnacentral:tRNA from 1 species